GGAUGCGAUCAUACCAGCACUAACGCCCCGGA
rnacentral:rRNA from 1 species